AUUGAACGCUGGCGGCAUGCUUUACACAUGCAAGUCGAACGGCAGCGCGGGCUUCGGCCUGGCGGCGAGUGGCGAACGGGUGAGUAAUACAUCGGAACGUGCCCAGUCGUGGGGGAUAGCUCGGCGAAAGCCGGAUUAAUACCGCAUACGACCUGAGGGUGAAAGCGGGGGAUCUUCGGAGCUAGCGCUAUUGGAGCGGCCGAUGGCAGAUUAGCUAGUUGGUGGGGUAAAGGCCUACCAAGGCGACGAUCUGUAGCUGGUCUGAGAGGACGACCAGCCACACUGGGACUGAGACACGGCCCAGACUCCUACGGGAGGCAGCAGUGGGGAAUUUUGGACAAUGGGCGAAAGCCUGAUCCAGCAAUGCCGCGUGUGUGAUGAAGGCCUUCGGGUUGUAAAGCACUUUUGGCGGGAACGAAAAGGACUGUGCCAAUACCACGGUUCGAUGACGGUACCCGCAGAAUAAGCACCGGCUAACUACGUG
rnacentral:rRNA from 1 species